rnacentral:rRNA from 1 species
CUUUUCUUGUUUUUAUUUGAAAUAUAACCUGCCCACUGAUAUUUAUUUAAUGGCCGCGGUAUUUUGACUGUGCAAAGGUAGCAUAAUCAUUAGUCUUUUAAUUAAGGGCUGGAAUGAAUGGUUGGACAAGAUGCUUACUGUCUUUUAUUUAUUUAAUUUAUAUUAGAAUUUAAUUAUUAUGUUAAAAGGCUUAAAUUUUUUUAUGGGACGAUAAGACCCUAUAGAAUUUUAUAAUAAUUAAUUUAUUUUUUUUGUUGGUAAUUUAUUUUUAUUUUAUUUAUUUUUUGAUUGGGGUGAUUUUUAGAUAAAUAUAACUCUUUAUAUUUUUAUAUACUUAUUUGUGUAAUAAUUUAUGAUCCAUAAUUUAUGAUUAAAAGACUAAAUUACCUUAGGGAUAACAGCGUAAUUUUAUUUGAGAGUUCAUAUUGACAAUAAAGAUUGCGACCUCGAUGUUGGAUUAAGGUAAUAAUUUUGGGUGUAGUGGCUUGAAACAAUUAAGUCUGUUCGACUUUUAAAUCCUUACA